rnacentral:rRNA from 1 species
UACGUAGGGUGCAAGCGUUAAUCGUAAUUACUGGGCGUAAAGCGUGCGCAGGCGGUUUUGUAAGUCUGUUGUGAAAUCCCCGGGCUUAACCUGGAAUGGCAAUGGAGACUGCAAGGCUAGAGUUUGGCAGAGGGGGGUAGAAUUCCACGUGUAGCAGUGAAAUGCGUAGAGAUGUGGAGGAACACCGAUGGCGAAGGCAGCCCCCUGGGUCAAGACUGACGCUCAUGCACGAAAGCGUGGGGAGCAAACAGG